GUAAAUAUAGUUUAUUAAAACAUCAGACUGUGAAUCUGAAGAUAUGAGUUAAAACUCUUUUUUUACC
rnacentral:tRNA from 1 species